rnacentral:rRNA from 1 species
ACUGCGAGUGAAGCGGGAAAAGCUCAAAUUUAAAAUCUGGCGGUCUUUGGCCGUCCGAGUUGUAGUCUGGAGAAGUGCUUUCCGCGCUGGACCGUGUAUAAGUCUCUUGGAACAGAGCGUCAUAGAGGGUGAGAAUCCCGUCUUUGACACGGACUACCAGUGCUUUGUGAUGCGCUCUCAAAGAGUCGAGUUGUUUGGGAAUGCAGCUCAAAAUGGGUGGUGAAUUCCAUCUAAAGCUAAAUAUUGGCGAGAGACCGAUAGCGAACAAGUACCGUGAGGGAAAGAUGAAAAGCACUUUGGAAAGAGAGUUAAACAGUACGUGAAAUUGUUAAAAGGGAAACGAUUGAAGUCAGUCGUGUUUAUUGGAUUCAGCCGGUCUUCGGUGUACUUCCUUUAAACGGGUCAACAUCAGUUUUGUUCGGUGGAUAAAGGUAUUAGGAAUGUGGCUUCUUCGGAAGUGUUAUAGCCUAGUAUUGCAUACACUGGAGGAGACUGAGGACUGCAGCUCGCCUUUAUGGCCGGGGUUCGCCC